UAAACAGCAGAUUUGUUUAGGGU
rnacentral:snRNA from 1 species